GUGAGGAAUAUUGGUCAAUGGGCGAGAGCCUGAACCAGCCAAGUCGCGUGAAGGAUGAAGGUUUUAUGAAUUGUAAACUUCUUUUGCAGGGGAAUAAAGUACGGUACGUGUACCGUUUUGUAUGUACUCUGCGAAUAAGGAUCGGCUAACUCCGUGCCAGCAGCCGCGGUAAUACGGAGGGUGCGAGCGUUAUCCGGAUUUAUUGGGUUUAAAGGGUGCGUAGGUGGUUUGAUAAGUCAGCGGUGAAAGUUUGCAGCUUAACUGUAAAAAUGCCGUUGAAACUGUCGGACUUGAGUGUAAAUGAGGUAGGCGGAAUGCGUGGUGUAGCGGUGAAAUGCAUAGAUAUCACGCAGAACUCCGAUUGCGAAGGCAGCUUACUAAGCUACAACUGACACUGAAGCACGAAAGCGUGGGGAUCAAACAGGAUUAGAUACCCUAGUAGUCC
rnacentral:rRNA from 1 species